GUGAGUACAGGUGCUCAAAGUAGGCACUUGUCUCUGGGCAAGCAGCUGUCCCCCUCCUGUUGAUACUUUUGGGCCUGGUGAGAGACAAAUCUGACAGUGACUAAGGAACAGGGCUUUACCAGGACACUGCCAAUGGAACCACCAGGUAGUAGAUGUCCACACACAGGCCAUGUCUAAACUCUUAUCAUCAGCCUAGAAGCCAGCUAGACUUAGGGAUCUACUGUAGGCUGGGCUUAACCUCUGUUACCAAAGUUUCCACUGAUUGCAACAAGUGCUUUGGAAAGUAGCUGAGACCUACCUCUGGCCAGUGGAGUUCGGAAGUCCUUCAGCUGAAUCUUGUCCUUAUUUUCACCAUGGCGGCGUGACAAUUAGGGGACGUAAGAGAGGUGCUUUUGGCAGGGGUCUGAGCACCUUCGUCACCCCACACUGAGGAAGGCAGGGUUGAAAGUGGGGCUGGGUUGGUACUGUAAGCACAGAUAGUCACAGGCUGCUGAACUUGAAGCCUUCCCCUUGUAACAGGCAGGUACCACAUGCACCUGUAGCUGAUGUUCACUGUCGUGUUACUCAAAUGCCAUGUCUGGUAGGGUUUCAUACUCACUGUCAUGUUCUACAUCAGUCAUUGUUCUCUGUAAAUAUCUAAAUACCUACCCAACAUCCUACAGCUGUUCCAUCCUGCUAGGAAUAUACAGAUAGAACUGUUUAAAGUAUUACUUAUACCAAAUUUUUACCUGUUAAGACCCCCCCCCAAACACAAGAAUGCUUUGUCAUCUGAUGGAUCAGAACAGCUUAAUCUAUCCAUUAAAUAUGUGUUUGCUCUUCCCUUUUCUGUACUUGUUUGGUUUUCACAUGCCAGAAAAAGAGCUAUUUUGAUGUUAUUGGCUUCAGUCAUUUGGAAACGUACAGCUUCUGGCAUGAUGAAAUUGCAUCCUUUGACAUCUAUCAUCUCUGUAAGAUGCUUUUUCCGCUUAAUGUGGCAGCAUGUACAUUAAAAUAUUCUGAGUAACA